ensembl:lncRNA
CUGUACAGCUAUGAUCAGCUGUACCUUCAUCUUGGCUGAGCUUUCAAUGGAUGAAGCUGAUUGGUUGGUUCUUGUCACAUGACCCGCGUCGCUUCCAAAAUGAACGCACCUGCCGCGCGUCUACAUUUGAAAUAACGACCUCGAGCGCGCAAAAGACUUGAUAUGUGAACGGCCCCGUUCAAAUGAUUCAAAGCGCCAAACGCGAGCAGAAUCAGCGCUGGAACGUGUUACUCGACCCGGUGACUUUUUAUGAAUGGCGUUUAAUUUAUGUGUCUUCUGCCUGAGAGAGGGGAACAGACCGGCAUUACAGAGGAGUGUAAUUUAUAUUGAUUUACCUUUUGGAUAGAGGGAUGGCUGAGGAAAGAGGGAAAGAUGGGAGGAAGAGAGGGAUGAAGGAUGGUAAGUCUCAUCUAUGAAAAGCCCAUCCGUCUUUGCAAGGGGAGCUGUGGCAACCCUUUAACCUCCACAGAUGAGAUGUCUGUGCAUACACGGGAAGUGUGUGUUUAUUGUGUGCAUUUGUGAUGUACCUUCACGCCUCAGGGGAAUUGAAAUUAAUAGCAUAAGGGUUGCUUAUAUGCGUGCAAGAUUUUGCCUGACAAAAGACCCAACAAAAGCAAAAAGAACAUUUGCCCUUUAUCCGUUCAAGCGAGUCAGUGUAUUGUACAGGAGGAGCUGCAGUAUAGAUCACGCAUACAAUGCACUUGUUUUUUUUUCUUGAUUAUGCUUCUGUCCCUAGACAAAGUAAACCAUGACCAUAUAGAAAUAAACACUUUUUUAAAUAAUGCAUAACAGCAAACAUAUAGUAUAUAUACAUAUAUGGAGUAAAUAACACAGAGCAAAUUAAAAUACCUCAUGAAAUUAAAGGGAUAGUUCACCGUAAAAUAAAUAUUGUCAUUAAUUAUUCAUCCUCAUGUCGUUCCAAACCCCUAAGACCUUUGAUCGUCUUCAGAACACAAAUCAAGAUGAAUUUUUUGAAAUCCAAGAGCUUUCUUACACUGCAUAGACAGCAUCGCAACUACCACGUUCAAGGCCCAGAAACGUAGUAAGCAUAUCGAUCAUAACAUUAUGCAGCUUCUUAACAUUAUGGUUUAACCACUGAUGUCAUAUGGACUAUUAACAAUGUCCUUGCUACCUUUUUGGGGCUAUGUAGGGUCAGAAUUUCUCGGAUUUUUCCAGAAAUAUCUCAAUUUGUAAAAUGAACGAAUUCCUUAUGGGUUUAGACAUGAGGGCAUGAGUAAUUAAUGACAGAAUAUUUAUUUUUGUGUCAACUAUCCCUUUAAAUGCAUUUUGCAUCCAUAUAGUAAUUUUAAAGACUAAAAUAAAUACAAUUAAAUUAUUAAAUAAAAAAGUAAUUUUUUGUUUUUGUAUGAAAAGGUGCAUUCAAA